rnacentral:rRNA from 1 species
AGAGUUUGAUCCUGGCUCAGGACGAACGCUGGCGGCGUGCCUAAUACAUGCAAGUCGAACGCUUCUUUCCUCCCGAGUGCUUGCACUCAAUUGGAAAGAGGAGUGGCGGACGGGUGAGUAACACGUGGGUAACCUACCCAUCAGAGGGGGAUAACACUUGGAAACAGGUGCUAAUACCGCAUAACAGUUUAUGCCGCAUGGCAUAAGAGUGAAAGGCGCUUUCGGGUGUCGCUGAUGGAUGGACCCGCGGUGCAUUAGCUAGUUGGUGAGGUAACGGCUCACCAAGGCCACGAUGCAUAGCCGACCUGAGAGGGUGAUCGGCCACACUGGGACUGAGACACGGCCCAGACUCCUACGGGAGGCGGCAGUAGGGAAUCUUCGGCAAUGGACGAAAGUCUGACCGAGCAACGCCGCGUGAGUGAAGAAGGUUUUCGGAUCGUAAAACUCUGUUGUUAGAGAAGAACAAGGACGUUAGUAACUGAACGUCCCCUGACGGUAUCUAACCAGAAAGCCACGGCUAACUACGUGCCAGCAGCCGCGGUAAUACGUAGGUGGCAAGCGUUGUCCGGAUUUAUUGGGCGUAAAGCGAGCGCAGCGGUUUCUUAAGUCUGAUGUGAAAGCCCCCGGCUCACCCCGGGGAAGGGUCAUUGGGAACUGGGAGAACUUGAGUGCAGAAGAAGGAAAGUGGAAUUCCUUGUGUAGCGGUGAAAUGCGUAGUUAUAUAUGGAGGAACAUAAGUGGCGAAGCGGCUCUCUGGUCUGUAACUGACGCUGAAGCUCGAAAG